AUUGAACGCUGGCGGAAUGCUUUACACAUGCAAGUCGAACGAUGAGACCUAGCUUGCUAGGUUGAUUAGUGGCGAACGGGUGAGUAAUGUAUCGGAACGUAUCCAAUAGUGGGGGAUAACUAACCGAAAGGUUAGCUAAUACCGCAUACGCCCUACGGGGGAAAGCAGGGGAUCUUCGGACCUCGCGUUAAUGGAGCGGCCGAUAUCUGAUUAGCCAGUUGGUGAGGUAAAGGCUCACCAAGGCGACGAUCAGUAGCUGGUCUGAGAGGACGACCAGCCACACUGGAACUGAGACACGGUCCAGACUCCUACGGGAGGCAGCAGUGGGGAAUUUUGGACAAUGGGCGAAAGCCUGAUCCAGCCAUUCCGCGUGAGUGAAGAAGGCCUUCGGGUUGUAAAGCUCUUUCGCAAGGGAAGAAAACUUACUUUCUAAUAAAGAGUGAGGUUGACGGUACCUUGAUAAGAAGCACCGGCUAACUACGUGCCAGCAGCCGCAGUAA
rnacentral:rRNA from 1 species